rnacentral:rRNA from 1 species
UACAGAGGUCUCGAGCGUUGUUCGGAUUCAUUGGGCGUAAAGGGCGCGUAGGCGGCGGGGUAAGUCUGGUGUGAAAUCUCGGAGCUCAACUCCGAAAUUGCACUGGAUACUGCUCUGCUAGAGGGCUGGAGAGGAGAUCGGAAUUCACGGUGUAGCAGUGAAAUGCGUAGAUAUCGUGAGGAAGACCAGUGGCGAAGGCGGAUCUCUGUACAGCUCCUGACGCUGAGGCGCGAAGGCUAGGUGAGCAAACGGG